rnacentral:misc_RNA from 2 species
AACGCACAUUGCGCUCCCUGGCAUUCCUAGGAGCAUGUCUGUCUGAGCGUCAGUACACACCCUCCGCCCAUCUCUUUCACCGGAGGUUCGGGCGGGUUCUGAAGGGGGAGAAGCGAGAGCAACCCCCCCUCUAAAGUGGAAUGACAGCGGCCCGCCUGCCCAUGAAAGACGUAGUAAGAUACACCAUCAGAAUCGUCCGCGAAAUUGGAAAGGUAGAGGCUUGCCUCGACUCAAACAAUCUAAGGCUUGACCUCAGAUCAGACAAGAAUACCCGCUGAACUUAA